UUGCAUUUGGAGGACCUUUAUGUUAAUCCAGCUUACAGGGGACGAGGGAUUGGUACACAGUUGUGGAAGAGGGUUGCAAAGCACGGGUUGGACCUGGGUUGUAACAGGCUUCAGCUGACUGUGCUCGGCUGGAACACCAAGGCUAAAGAUCUUUACACGCACUACGGCUUCAAGGACCUAACAGAGUCCGAAGGUUGGCAUCUGAUGAGGAUGUCCAGGGCAACCAUGGAAGACUUUGUAAAAGGCUGACACCACCAAGUAUUGUUAGAAUAACAUAAUUAUAUUUGAAAAAUGUUAACCAGUAUUUUAACAUGAUUAAUUUAUUGAUCACUCCAUUCCAAAGUUGUUACACUUUCUUGAUGUCACAAAUUGAGCGAGAAAUUUUGUAAAGGUUUGCAUGUGAUUGAAGUGAUAUUGUAUCAAAAGUGGAAACCUGAUUGUUGAUUUUGUAAAUGUAGUUUAAGUUACAAAUUUAAGUUAUAAAGAAAUAUUAGUAUGAAAAUGUUGGUAAGCAAUUCUUGUCUUAUCUUCUUAUAAAUUACAAAUGUUAUUUUAAAAGAGGAGAUGAUUACAUCCUACACAUAUCCAUAUCUCAAUCUAGUCAUGCAUGUCAUUAGUGACUUAAAUUGGCUUUCCCUUAUUCAGGCAACUUAUUCCAUGCUUAAAGGGCUUUAGAGUUAAAUUAGUCAAAUGUAGUCUCUGUGACAUAAAGGGUUAAUUCGUGAAACUGUCUAAUGUAGUUCAUAUGACUAAGUCCAUUAACUGGGAGGUUCAUUUAUUCAAUACCUGAUCUGUAAUCUCUGUUUUUAUACUUCUGACCAAACCUGCACUCUUUACAGACUCUACACCUGUAAUAGCUCUUUAGUUGCCUCCAGAUAAAUACAUUUUAUUUGUGCUUAUAAUGAGGAACUAGUGUUCUCUUUUUAAAGGAAAAAAUCUGUCUGUGUUAUCAUCAAAAAUGAAGCUGUUGAUUGCAAUAUUUUGUUCUUGAAAAAAUAAAAACUAAGUUAUAUGAAUACCCAAA
rnacentral:sRNA from 1 species